UCACUGCAAGUUCAGGUUGGUCAAAAUUCGCAUCUCUUAAUUCUUCAAACCAUUUCCAUGUUUAGGUAGAGCUUUUCAUGCUGAAAAUUCUGAUAUAAAAUUCAUUGAAAACGGUUGAGAAUUGCAUGAGAUAUGUUUGUUUAAAGUUUUGCCAUGAAAUUUUCUUUUCAUCGAUUUGCAUUGUUCAUUGAGAUUUAGACCAAAUAAG
rnacentral:lncRNA from 1 species